UCAACCCGCGGACGGCACAUGAUACUGCGAGACUAGAGUAAUGGAGGGGGAACCGGAAUUCUCGGUGUAGCAGUGAAAUGCGUAGAUAUCGAGAGGAACACUCGUGGCGAAGGCGGGUUCCUGGACAUUAACUGACGCUGAGGCACGAAGGCCAGGGGAGCGAAAGGGAUUAGAUACCCCUGUAGUCCUGGCAGUAAACGGUGCACGCUUGGUGUGCGGGGAAUCGACCCCCUGCGUGCCGGAGCUAACGCGUUAAGCGUGCCGCCUGGGGAGUACGGUCGCAAGAUUAAAACUCAAAGAAAUUGACGGGGACCCGCACAAGCGGUGGAGUAUGUGGCUUAAUUCGAUGCAACGCGAAGAACCUUACCUGGGCUUGACAUGUAAUGAACAACAUGUGAAAGCAUGCGACUCUUCGGAGGCGUUACACAGGUGCUGCAUGGCCGUCGUCAGCUCGUGUCGUGAGAUGUUUGGUUAAGUCCAGCAACGAGCGCAACCCCUGUUGCCAGUUACCAGCACGUGAAGGUGGGGACUCUGGCGAGACUGCCCAGAUCAACUGGGAGGAAGGUGGGGACGACGUCAGGUCAGUAUGGCCCUUAUGCCCAGGGCUGCACACGUACUACAAUGCCCAGUACAGAGGGGGCCGAAGCCGCGAGGCGGAGGAAAUCCUAAAAACUGGGCCCAGUUCGGACUGUAGGCUGCAACCCGCCUACACGAAGCCGGAAUCGCUAGUAAUGGCGCAUCAGCUACGGCGCCGUGAAUACGUUCCCGGGUCUUGUACACACCGCCCGUCACAUCAUGGAAGCCGGUCGCACCCGAAGUAUCUGAAGCCAACCGCAAGGAGGCAGGGUCCUAAGGUGAGACUGGUAACUGGGAUGAAGUCGUAACAAGGUAGCCGUAGGGGAACCUGCGGCUG
rnacentral:rRNA from 1 species